AGCUCCAAUAGCGUAUAUUAAAUUUGUUGAAGUUAAAAAGCUCGUAGUUGGAUCUCAGGCCAGAUGUGUCGGUGUGGUCAAUGGCCAUCUCCGUUCACAUUUGCCUUUUUUAGCUGUUUGUCUUCUUAUUGUUCUCUUCACUGAGUGCUUUAAGGAGCUCGGCACGUUUACCUUGAAAAAAUCAGAGUGCUUAAAGCAGGCCUUUGUGCUUGUAUGUUGUUGCAUGGAAUAAUGGAAUAGGACUUCGGUUCUAUUUUGUUGGUUUUCGGUACUGAAGUAAUGAAUAAUAGAGACAGUCGGGGGCAUUUCUAUGGCUGUGUUAGAGGUGAAAUUCUGAGAUCGCAGCCAGAGAGACUACUGCGAAAGCAUUUGCCAAGCAUGUCUUCA
rnacentral:rRNA from 1 species